GCUAAAAGCAGAAGUGGAACAACAUCACCCCUCUGCAUCGCAAGUUUCAUUUCUGUACUUUUGCUAGUGCUGCUUUGGGGAGGACUUGCAUUCAUCUUCUGGAGAUAUAAAGGACAGAGAGAGAGGCAGAUGGGGAAUGACAACAGACAAAGAAGAGGCACAGACCAAGAACGUGAUAUGUCGGCCACAUCAACAUAUGAAGAACUUCAGCAUCGCUACAGUGCAGGGCAGAUGUACUCAACCAUUGGGCAGAACACUGGAGUGCAGGUUAAUGAUCAUGAGGGUGAUCAGAUUGAUCUAUCUGCAUGAGGCACCAGAGGAUUGCUGCAUCUCAACUGCCCAUCAGCGUCACUUACAUUGCACUGUCACAUGUUCAAAUCCUACACAGCUUGUAAUAAUUUUAGAUGCCUUGCUUUACGCAGCCCUAUGUUAAAUGCUCAUGUUGAUCUGUGAAAUGAAAUAUGCAGAUGUAGUUUCUGUCUCCUCUCCCCCUUUUGGCUGCAGCAGUCAGCACAAUUCAGCCAGUUUAACCUACCAACCAGAUAAGCAGUAUUGGUCAAACCAGACAAUCUAUGGACAUUGCUGUUUAAUCUUCAAUAAGACUUGCGCGUGUGAUACCUUUGGCUAUACUGAGAUAUGGGUAUAGAAGGUAAUACGAAUAUAAUCCUGUGAACAGAUGCAUAGUAUUUCAGUUACGCAGCCCUAUGUUAAAUGCUCAUGUUGAUCUGUGAAAUGAAAUAUGCAGAUGUAGUUACAUACAACAUAUUAAACCUGUUUUUGUACCAAGGC